GCUCAAUGGUAGAGCGUUUGAUUCAAUACCAAAAUGUUGCGGGUUCGAAUCCCAC
rnacentral:tRNA from 1 species